UCGAAGGUAGGCUAUAUUACUAAGCCUUCAGAUUCAUACUCUGACAAAGAGACACGGUCUCUCUUCGAA
rnacentral:tRNA from 1 species